rnacentral:lncRNA from 1 species
GGAAGCUUUCAAACUUGCCUGAGGUUUGGAAUUGGCUCUGAAUAAAAGGUGUUGUGUGUCUCAAGUGCCCUCUGAAGUGGCCGGCCCAAGGGCUCUCCAGCAGCCCAAACAGCCAGCACACAAAGCCAUUAAACAUCGAGUGCCUGCCCAUGGUUACCUGGAGAGGGUUUGCAGCUGAGCCCCGCAGGAACCGGCUUUGUCUGAAACACCACCCCCGGCAGGUGGGAAAAGCCCGGGCUGCUGAUGGCUCUCCUGCAUCUCCCAUCCAGCCAUCCAAGACUUGUCCUGCAGCCACAGAGGAUCCAGGCCAGUUUUGGGGGGCAGGGACUGCACUGCCACAGGGAACUCCAGACCUCAGUCCUGGGAGAGAGACAGAGCCAAGGCAGGUGAGGGCAGUGCCCUCUGAAGCAGGAGGACACAUCCAUGUGGGCCACUGUCCUUGGAUGUGGGAGGAUGGGAGGAGAAGAGGGCCAAGGCAUCUGCCUUGGAGAUGGAGAAGUCCUGCAGGCUCCCAGCUUGCCAUUUGUGCCAUCCUGCCCUCACAAGGACAUCCCCGACUCUGGGAGCCGCAGGAUCACAGCUGGCUCCAGCAGCUCCCCUGGAUUUUCUCUGCCCUGCCUGAGCUCUCCAGAAGCACCCUGCUGCCGUGGAUGCAGAUGGGAAAGGGAGCACUCCUGGCCUGGAGCAUCUGA